rnacentral:rRNA from 1 species
UACGGGGGGGGCAAGCGUUGUUCGGAAUUACUGGGCGUAAAGGGCUCGUAGGCGGCCAACUAAGUCGGAUGUGAAAUCCCCAGGCUCAACUUGGGAACUGCAUCCGAUACUGGAUGGCUUGAAUUCGGGAGAGGGAUGCAGAAUUCCAGGUGUAGCGGUGAAAUGCGUAGAUAUCUGGAGGAAUACCGGUGGCGAAGGCGGCCCACUGGUCCGGUACUGACGCUGAGGUGCGAAAGCGUGGGGAGCAAACAGG